rnacentral:lncRNA from 1 species
CCACUCUCCUGUGCUGACUGAAACGAAGUAUGACACCAGUCUUGCCCAGGCAAGCUGCUUCUUGUGAAUAGGAAGUGAACAACCCUGGAUUCCAGGCCAGGGGGAGAGAGAUAUGAACUCAUCAGCAGAAAUGUGAGUUCUUCCCAGCUUCUCCGUGCUGAUACCCCAUGGUUCUCCUACCACCAGAUGCUACUGAGGCUAAACUGACUGGACUGAGGAAAAAUAUCUGUGGGGAAAACUUUCUUUCAGAAUCCAACUUUGAACCAGAGAAAUCCAUUCUCUUGAAGCUGUCUGCUGUGGAGAAGUUGGCCUUACCAAUCUGCCUUUGAAGUUCAAGUUAUACAGGAUCUGCGAGGCUACCUGUGAAUGAAUGGUUGGUUGGUCACUACUUGCAAGUUUUUCAGGAGCUCCUGAAAGAUUACUGCAUAAAUAAGGGAAGAUGGAGACCAGACCUCUGGCUACUGUUGCUGCCACCACUACAGAUACCACCUUCACCCUUAUGAACCCCCUAUUUACUGAACAUUCUCUAUAUGCCAGGUAACAUGCCCUGCACUUGUGAAAUAAGGACUGUUAUUUCCCCUAUUUUAUAAAAGAGGAGCUGAGGCUCAGAGAGAUUAUGUUACUUGCCCAAGAUCAGAUAGCUAGUAAGUGGCAGAGAUGAGAUUCUGUCUGAGUCCAGCUUACACCAUAACUGAUAUUCUUGACAAUCGGGCUGGAUAGAAAAGGAUAAGAUAUGAGAAUUUUGGUGCUAUGAUUUGAAUUUUCCUUCCAAAGCUCAUGUUGAAACUUAAUCCCCAAAGUAACAGUACUGAUAGGUGGGGUCUUUAACAUGGAGUCCCAGAAUUGGAUCGUGAGGGCUCUGCCCUGAUAAAUGAAUUAUUCCACUCAUGAUUAAUGGAUUAAUAGAUCAUCAUGGGAGUGGAACAGUGGCUUUAUAAGAAGAGGAAGAGAGACCUGAGGUAGAACACUCAGCGCCCUUGCCAUGUGAUGCUCUGUACUGCCUUGGGACUCUGCAGAGUCUCUCUACCAGCAAGAAGGUCCUCACCAGAUGCAGUCCCUUGACCUUGGCCUUCUUAGCUUCUACAACUGUCAUAAAUAAUUUUUUCUUUAUAAAUUACCCAGUUUUGGGAGUUCUAUUAUAAGCAAUAAAAACCAG